CUUGAUCAUGAUGAUCAUCUUUUAUUUAAUGGAGAAAGAAACCAAUAUUUGCAGCAGGACAGGCUAUCACCACAGUUCAAUGAUUUAGUUAAGACAAUGAAAUAGAAGAACUUCAUGCUAACACUUGCAUCAGUGGAAGUACUUCUUAUUGGAUAGAGAACUUUUCAAGGUCAGACAUCAGCUUUUGAAGUUGCUUUUUUGGCACAUCAUGCUGUCCAGUGGAGUUCAUACCAUAUGCCAGGCCUUUAUACAUGGCCAAAGAAGAUGAAUUUGUUAUUCAGUGUGUGAAAUUUGAUUAAAGAGGACUUUCAUAUAUGAUGAUUAUAUUCAGCAGAUUAUCUUCAAGUGUGCACUUUAUA